rnacentral:rRNA from 1 species
GCAGUCGACGGUACAGAAAGCAGCUUGCUGCUUUGCUGACGAGUGGCGGACGGGUGAGUAAUGUCUGGGAAACUGCCCGAUGGAGGGGGAUAACUACUGGAAACGGUAGCUAAUACCGCAUAACGUCGCAAGACCAAAGAGGGGGACCUUAGGGCCUCUUGCCAUCGGAUGUGCCCAGAUGGGAUUAGCUAGUAGGUGGGGUAAAGGCUCACCUAGGCGACGAUCCCUAGCUGGUCUGAGAGGAUGACCAGCCACACUGGAACUGAGACACGGUCCAGACUCCUACGGGAGGCAGCAGUGGGGAAUAUUGCACAAUGGGCGCAAGCCUGAUGCAGCCAUGCCGCGUGUAUGAAGAAGGCCUUCGGGUUGUAAAGUCUUUUUCAGCGGGGAGGAAGGGAGUAAAGUUAAUACCUUUGCUCAUUGACGUUACCCGCAGAAGAAGCACCGGCUAACUCCGUGCCAGCAGCCGCGGUAAUACGGAGGGUGCAAGCGUUAAUCGGAAUUACUGGGCGUAAAGCGCACGCAGGCGGUUUGUUAAGUCAGAUGUGAAAUCCCCGGGCUCAACCUGGGAACUGCAUCUGAUACUGGCAAGCUUGAGUCUCGUAGAGGGGGGUAGAAUUCCAGGUGUAGCGGUGAAAUGCGUAGAGAUCUGGAGGAAUACCGGUGGCGA